GAUGAACGCUGGCGGCGUGCCUAAUACAUGCAAGUAGAACGCUGAAGGAGGAGCUUGCUCUUCUGGAUGAGUUGCGAACGGGUGAGUAACGCGUAGGUAACCUGCCUGGUAGCGGGGGAUAACUAUUGGAAACGAUAGCUAAUACCGCAUGACAACAGUUAUUGCAUGAUAACUGUUUAAAAGGGGCAACUGCUCCACUACCAGAUGGACCUGCGUUGUAUUAGCUAGUUGGUGAGGUAACGGCUCACCAAGGCGACGAUACAUAGCCGACCUGAGAGGGGGAUAGGCCACACUGGGACGGAGACACGGCCCAGACUCCUACGGGAGGCAGCAGUAGGGAAUCUUCGGCAAUGGACGGAAGUCUGACCGAGCAACGCCGAGUGAGUGAAGAAGGUUUUCGGAUCGUAAAGCUCUGUUGUAAGAGAAGAACGAGUGUGAGAGUGGAAAGUUCACACUGUGACGGUAUCUUACCAGAAAGGGACGGCUAACUACGUG
rnacentral:rRNA from 1 species